UACGUAGGGUGCAAGCGUUGUCCGGAAUUAUUGGGCGUAAAGAGCUCGUAGGCGGUUUGUCGCGUCUGGUGUGAAAUCAGGGCUUAACCCUGGACCUGCAUCGGGUACGGGCAGACUAGAGUGCGGUAGGGGAGAUCGGAAUUCCUGGUGUAGCGGUGAAAUGCGCAGAUAUCAGGAGGAACACCGGUGGCGAAGGCGGAUCUCUGGGCCGUAACUGACGCUGAGGAGCGAAAGCAUGGGGAGCGAACAGG
rnacentral:rRNA from 1 species